AGGUAAGGCCUAAGAGAGCAUGCAAGAGCAGAUGAUAUGGGGCUAUUUUCCUUCUCCCGACGUUAUAUCAUUCUGGUCUUAUUACUCUCUGCAGCAAUCUUGGCCAUGCAGCCUUAUCAAAUCAGUGCAGAUAUUGAAGUAAGAAAACUAGCUACCAAACCUUUUCCAAGUCCUCCCCCUCCAAUAGCGAACCUGGGGAAAAGCCCAAACCUACGAAGUCCAGUUCCUCGGGUUAAAGGUGCACCAAAACCAAGAAAACCUCCCAGUAGUCCUGUGGUGCAGACAUGAUCAGUAAAAUUUUUUAUACUUACAAUAUCUCUUAAUUAGAAGAGUGACAAAGAGUUUGAUUAGCAUAAGUUCUUGAAGAAGCAAUAGUGGAAUAUUUCUGCGUACUUUCAUUUUAUGAGAUCUAUUAAAUAAGGUUAAAU